rnacentral:tRNA from 1 species
GGGCGAAUAGCUCAGUUGGUAGAGCGCCUCGUUUACACCGAGGUGGCCGGGGGUUCGAGUCCCUCUUCGCCCA